rfam:Virgibacillus soli strain PL205 scaffold000027, whole genome shotgun sequence.
GUUUUUAGUAGAACAGCUAAUGUCACUACUUCCUACAGAGACGCCGUUCUGACCCGCAUCUUGCGGG